GGAGGAAAGCUAAUUUACUGGAAAAGAUAAUGGAAUGCAAGAUAACACAGUAUAAUACAAUAAUAACAAAUAAUACAAUAUAAUUGCAAUUGAAGCUAAUAUAUCAAAUAAAAUGAGAGAGAGUGUCCAAAAACCGAAGGCCUUACUCUAACGCUGAAGGUAAGACAAGCACACAUGCUGCUGGGACAAGCAGAAAGGGAAGAGAAGAGAAACUCGUCUCGUGAUCUGUGGACAGUUUUAUCUUUUCCUCUGAAUGGAAAACAGAAAGAGAACAACACAAAGUCCUCUGGGGUAUGUAGCUCUUCUUCUCUUCUGAGAAUCAGGUACCUGGAACUAUCAAUGAUCCAAAAGAACUGGAACAUUAACUCUUUAACUCCCAUGUUUAAGAAUGUCUGAAUCAUUUGCCACCAUGCUUGAGUACCUUUUCUCCUGAAAGUAUUCACAAAAUUGACUUGGGGUAGAGUGGGGAAAUUACUUGUUUAUAUUAUUCUAUUUGCUUUUGAUGACUUAAAGGUAAAUACAUCAUAUGUCACAAAUGCAGAAAAUUGACUGCUGUCUUCUGCAAAUACUACUGAAAGUACAACAUCUAGAUAUGUGUUAAUUGCAGGAGGUACUGGGGUGGAUAACAAUGAGAGUAAGAGGGGUUUUGACACUUUUUCUCUGAAUGCUUUCAUCAAAGUCCUGCUAAAUUAUUCUUAAGAAUUUUUAAGCUUUGAGUUUUUUAAAGGUUUUUUUUUGUUUUGUUUUGUUUUGUUUUGUUUUGUUUUUUUACUGUGGUGACUAUUAAAGAGGAGGAAGCUUCUGCAGCUGACCCUCCAUACAACGAGUCUGGCCAGGGCCCUGCUACUUAUGAAGUUAUGUCAUCUCUUUUAGAAAACCCCAGCAAAUUAAACUCCUUAAUCUUUUAGCAGUACUUUAGGCUUCAUGAUAUAAAAUAUAUGUAGUAGUAAAAUACUCUUAGGGAACUAAUUAUGAAAGUAAACUGUAUUUAUGUUCUAUUAACUAGUAAUCCAGAAGUGUUAAAGGUUUCAGACUGGCUUCUCUAUUAGCAGAAACUGUAACUUUGUUUUCUGAAAUAUAUAUAUAUAUAUUUAUCUUAGUUACUUUAUGUUAGGAACAGAUACAUGAAAAGCACUAUUUUCCACCUUCUACUUGGUUUGGAGAAUUUUGUGUUUUCUGAAUAUGAGACAUUGUUUAAUGUUGUUUAAGCUU
ensembl:lncRNA